rnacentral:rRNA from 1 species
UACGGGGGGGGCAAGCGUUGUUCGGAAUUACUGGGCGUAAAGGGCGCGUAGGUGGCCAACUAAGUCAGACGUGAAAUCCCUGGGCUCAACCCAGGAACUGCGUCCGAUACUGGCAGGCUUGAAUCCGGGAGAGGGAUGUGGAAUUCCAGGUGUAGCGGUGAAAUGCGUAGAUAUCUGGAGGAACACCGGUGGCGAAGGCGGCAUCCUGGACCGGUAUUGACGCUGAUGCGCGAAAGCCAGGGGAGCAAACGGG